GAAUUAAAUUCAUAUGGAGAAGGGGUUAGUGUUAGGUGGGGAUUCAAUUGAGGACUCAUAUCGGCAGCUGAGUUUUAUGAUUCUUCGUAUGGGAGCUAAAUUGUACUUGGUGUAAAAACCACUUAGUUUCUGGUAUUGAUAAUCAUUGAAAUGUUUAUGUCGCGCUAUUUGUUAUAUGCACAUUAAGAGGAUGACUCCAUUCUCAGGUGUAUAACAGAUAGAUAGGUCAUAAGUAGAGGAUAUAAGGAUUAAGUACGAGUUCUUAAAACUCAUACUUAUGGUACGUUCGUGACUCAUGAUUAUAUGAAAUGUUUAUGGACCCCUCAGCGAAUGGACGCCAAAGGUCUGNNNN
rnacentral:lncRNA from 1 species